rnacentral:rRNA from 1 species
UGCCAGCAGCCGCGGUAAUUCCAGCUCCAAUAGCGUAUAUUAAAGUUGUUGUGGUUAAAAAGCUCGUAGUUGGAUCUCAGUUCGAGUCAGGCGGUCCACUUGCCAGUGGCUACUGCCUGACUGAACACUCUACCGAGUUGUCCUAUGGUGUUCUUCACCGAGCGUCAUAGGCGAUCGGUACGUUUACUUUGAAAAAAUUAGAGUGCUCAAAGCAGGCGUAACGCCCGAAUAAUGUUGCAUGGAAUAAUGGAAUAGGACCUCGGUUCCAUUUUGUUGGUCUUCGGAAUCAGAGGUAAUGAUCAAUAGGGACAGACGGGGACAUUCGUAUUGCGGCGCUAGAGGUGAAAUUCUUGGACCGUCGCAAGACGAACUAAAGCGAAAGCAUUUGUCAAGAAUGUUUUCAUUAAUCAAGAACGAAAGUUAGAGGUUCGAAGGCGAUCAGGUACCGCCCUAGUUCUAACCAUAAACGAUGCCAACCAGUAAUUCGUCUGAGUUCCUUAAAUGACUCGACGAGGGACUUCCGGGAAACCAAAGUCUUUCGGUUCCAGGGGAAGUAUGGUUGCAAAGCUGAAACUUAAAGAAAUUGACGGAAGGGCACCACCAGGAGUGGAGCCUGCGGCUUAAUUUGACCCAACACGGGAAAACUCACCCGGCCCGGACACUGGAAGGAUUGACAGAUUGAGAGCUCUUUCUAGAUUCAGUGGGUGGUGGUGCAUGGCCGUUCUUAGUUGGUGGAGUGAUUUGUCUGGUUAAUUCCGAUAACGAACGAGACUCUAGCCUACUAAAUAGAUCGUCGGCUUACAAACGCCGGCGAGACUUCUUAGAGGGACAGGCGGUGAUUCAACCGCACGAAACAGAGCAAUAACAGGUCUGUGAUGCCCUUAGAUGUCCGGGGCCGCACGCGCGCUACACUGAAGUGAUCAGCGUGCUUUUUCAACCUACUCUGUCAAGAGUGGGGAACCCAAUGAACCUUCUUCGUGAUUGGGAUAGGGGAUUGUAAUUAUUCCCCUUGAACGAGGAAUUCCCAGUAAGCGCGAGUCAUAAGCUCGCGUUGAUUACGUCCCUGCCCUUUGUACACACCGCCCGUCGCUACUACCGAUUGAAUGUUUUAGUGAGGUCUUCGGACUGGCCGGCGCAGCACUCUCGUAGUGCAGCGCUGUGUUUGGAAAGAUGCCCAAACUUGAACAUUUAGAGGAAGUAAAAGU